AGAGUUUGAUCCUGGCUCAGGACGAACGCUGGCGGCGUGCUUAACACAUGCAAGUCGAACGAGAAUCUACUGAAAGAGUUUUCGGACAAUGGAUGUAGAGGAAAGUGGCGGACGGGUGAGUAACGCGUGAGGAACCUGCCUUGAAGAGGGGGACAACAGUUGGAAACGACUGCUAAUACCGCAUGACGCAUAGAGGUCGCAUGAUCUUUAUGCCAAAGAUUUAUCGCUUCAAGAUGGCCUCGCGUCUGAUUAGCUAGUUGGCGGGGUAACGGCCCACCAAGGCGACGAUCAGUAGCCGGACUGAGAGGUUGAACGGCCACAUUGGGACUGAGAUACGGCCCAGACUCCUACGGGAGGCAGCAGUGGGGAAUAUUGGGCAAUGGGCGCAAGCCUGACCCAGCAACGCCGCGUGAAGGAAGAAGGCUUUCGGGUUGUAAACUUCUUUUAAGAGGGAAGAGCAGAAGACGGUACCUCUAGAAUAAGCCACGGCUAACUACGUGCCAGCAGCCGCGGUAAUACGUAGGUGGCAAGCGUUGUCCGGAUUUACUGGGUGUAAAGGGCGUGCAGCCGGGUCUGCAAGUCAGAUGUGAAAUCCAUGGGCUCAACCCAUGAACUGCAUUUGAAACUGUAGAUCUUGAGUGUCGGAGGGGCAAUCGGAAUUCCUAGUGUAGCGGUGAAAUGCGUAGAUAUUAGGAGGAACACCAGUGGCGAAGGCGGAUUGCUGGACGAUAACUGACGGUGAGGCGCGAAAGUGUGGGGAGCAAACAGGAUUAGAUACCCUGGUAGUCCACACUGUAAACGAUGAAUACUAGGUGUGCGGGGACUGACCCCCUGCGUGCCGCAGUUAACACAAUAAGUAUUCCACCUGGGGAGUACGAUCGCAAGGUUGAAACUCAAAGGAAUUGACGGGGGCCCGCACAAGCGGUGGAUUAUGUGGUUUAAUUCGAAGCAACGCGAAGAACCUUACCAGGGCUU
rnacentral:rRNA from 1 species